rnacentral:lncRNA from 1 species
CUUUUUCUAGCCGUCUGCCAUGGCGGGUGGGUGAAAGACCCGAGCUAACAUGGGGUUAGUUCGUUAAAUUACAAUAAAGCCUCGUGCAGUUUGCAGCAAGCUCUCGAAUCCGCCUGGUGAUUGGGGUGACCGCGAACCUGGCCUGAGACCCCGGAUACUUGAGUUUUCGGGGGUCUAACAUUUUGGGGGCUCGUCCGCGAUUUGCGACCACCCUUCACCUGAGUGGAUUCGAUCUUGGAGGUAAGAUGAUUAGAGCUCGCAAUUUAUAUAUGUUCAAUGUUCUAUGUUUCUUGUUUUGUCUCUUGCUGUGUUGUUGGUUUGGUGCCAUGAUUUGUAUUUGAUCUGCGCAGAAUUUGUAUUUGUAAUUCGGACUUCUGGGGAAGACCCUGAAGUCCUGCCCUGGAUGAAAGUCCGAGGGUUGCUUGAUUUGAUCUGCGCAGAAUUUGUAAUUUGUAUUUGAUCUGCGCAGAAUUUGUAAUUGAACCAUAGGGUAAGCAGACUUGCGAGAACCUUGGUUCCACCCUGGAUGAAAGUCCAAGGUUUGGUUGUAAUUUUGGUUUGGGGCACCAUUUCUUUGCCGCGGUUUGUCCUGUCUAAUGUUUGUGCUGUCUAAUGUGCUGUCAUUUGUGUUAUGUGUUUCUUAAGCAUCUCUUUCUGUCCCACAUUGCCCAUGCACGUGGCAUGCAUGGGUCAGGGGUCUUUUCUUGUUGCCCUAAGCACAUGGCACGGGAAAGGAGUUCUGCCAUGUGUCACGGGUUAGAAUGUGUUAUGUUGGAGUCCCCCGAUGCUGCUUUUCUGAACUCGAACCACUGCUGCAGCCCUUACAGCUGAGCCUGGCCCAUGUAGUUUAUAAUGUCAGACAGACUGCCAGAUCCGGACAGUGACCCAAAGUCUCCAAAGAAGAUUACGAGGCACCCCAGUUCCUGCACCUGGACCAGUGAGCAAGAUGCUCAGAUGUGAUACCUGCCGCCUGCCAGAACCUAGCCGAGACUGUGGACAAAGCUGCUGGACACUGGAAAAUUG